rnacentral:lncRNA from 1 species
AUGACGUGGUGAAUAAAAAGAUAAAAUGUAACGAGGCUGUAUAGAGGCCUAAAAUAUUCAGUGUAAGGUGCAUAAAAUAUACAAGUAUUAAAAGAAUGCUAUAACGAGUGAUGAGAGCGAUGACCAUAAAAUAUAGGCUA